rnacentral:rRNA from 1 species
GACGAACGCUGGCGGCGUGCUUAACACAUGCAAGUCGAACGGGAUCCAAAGGCUUUUUGUUUUUGGUGAGAGUGGCGAACGGGUGAGUAACACGUGAGUAACCUGCCCCCUUCUUUUGGAUAACCGCAUGAAAGUGUGGCUAAUACAGGAUAUUCCAGGCUGGUCGCAUGAUUGGUUUGGGAAAUGGUUUGGUCUGGUGGGGGAUGGGCUCGCGGCCUAUCAGCUUGUUGGUGGGGUGAUGGCCUACCAAGGCGGUGACGGGUAGCCGGCCUGAGAGGGUGGGCGGGUACACUGGGAAUGGGGUACGGCCCAGACUCCUACGGGGGGGAGCAGUGGGGGAUUUUGCACAAUGGGCGCAAGCCUGAUGCAGCGACGCCGCGUGAGGGAUGAAGGCCUUCGGGUUGUAAACCUCUUUCGCUGGGUUGAAAGGCCAUGCUUUGGGUGUGGUUGAUUUGAACUGGUAAAGAAGUACCGGCUAACUACGUG